CAAGUCGAGCGGACAGAUGGGAGCUUGCUCCCUGAUGUUAGCGGCGGACGGGUGAGUAACACGUGGGUAACCUGCCUGUAAGACUGGGAUAACUCCGGGAAACCGGGGCUAAUACCGGAUGGUUGUUUGAACCGCAUGGUUCAAACAUAAAAGGUGGCUUCGGCUACCACUUACAGAUGGACCCGCGGCGCAUUAGCUAGUUGGUGAGGUAACGGCUCACCAAGGCAACGAUGCGUAGCCGACCUGAGAGGGUGAUCGGCCACACUGGGACUGAGACACGGCCCAGACUCCUACGGGAGGCAGCAGUAGGGAAUCUUCCGCAAUGGACGAAAGUCUGACGGAGCAACGCCGCGUGAGUGAUGAAGGUUUUCGGAUCGUAAAGCUCUGUUGUUAGGGAAGAACAAGUACCGUUCGAAUAGGGCGGUACCUUGACGGUACCUAACCAGAAAGCCACGGCUAACUACGUGCCAGCAGCCGCGGUAAUACGUAGGUGGCAAGC
rnacentral:rRNA from 1 species